GGUAGCGUGGCCGAGUGGUCUAAGGCGCUGGUUUAAGGCACCAGUCUCUUUGGAGGCGUGGGUUCAAAUCCCACCGCUGCCA
rnacentral:tRNA from 1 species